GGUUCAAAUUUGGCAAGUUAUACCUUGGUACUGUGUAUUUUGUAAUUUUGGAUUUUAAGGUAAAUCAGCACGACAAGAUCGCCCGGUCAGUAAAGUUGUCCUCGUCUAUUUCUUGGGAGGUUGUACUCACUCUGAAAUAGCGGCCCUCCGAUUCCUUGGUAAACUCAAAGGUGGCUUCGUUAUAAGUGAAGUAGACUGUGUUUUGUGACUACAGAUGAAAUUCUGCUAAGACACGGAUGAGAUUUAUCUACAUUGAAACAUUUGUUGAGGUUACGUCUUUAUCAUAGCCACCACAGCAAUCAUCAACAGCGUCACCAUGCUGGAGUCCGUCAUGGAGAGACCACCCAUAUAAUUCAUCAUAUAGAUUGUUGUUAUGUAGUUAAUCAUUUUUGUCAUAUAAUUUAUCAUCGUCAUAUAGACUGUUAUUUUUGUCAAUAACUGUAUUUAAACUGUAUAGAUUGUAAGUGACUUCGUUUGAGUGAAGCAUUGAGCAAUGUCAAUAAUUACACUGAACCAUUGUGACUGGUUGUCACUCAGUGAUUUAACUCCAGUUACUGAACCAUUGGGACUGGUAGUGACUCUGUCAUUUAUCUCCAGUUACUGAACCAUUGGGACUGGUAGUUACUCAGUGAUUUAUCUACAGUUAAGUGACUAUCCACAAUUCAUUUGGAUGGGAGUUUAAUAUAUUGGUACUGUCAGACUGAAAAAUUAGACUCCGAUUGCAAAAAAUUCCAGGAAGAGAGUGCAAGAGAGAAUCGCACAAGCCCUUUUAAGCAGAGGGGUGUAUUCGUACACUGCGUUGAAAAUUGUUUAAUACUAUCCAAUAAAAAAUAUUGGAAAAUAGUAUAUUUAUUUAUCUCUAGUAGUUAUCAUUACGUUAUUGGGGUAUUCAUUUUUACCCACAAUCUGUUUUCUAUCAAAUCUCUUAUUUCAUAUAGUUAGGGAUAAAAACCCUUAACAUUCCAAAAAUGAAAACCAUUAAGGAAAAUCCAAGGGAUUCACACACCCCUCUGAAAACUCCUGGCUCUGUGCCUACAUAUGCACUUCCUAUUUUGUUCUAGAAUGUUGCCCUAUGAUGCAAUUAUUUAAAAUAUGAAAGUAAUGGCUCAUAAAUUUUCAUUAUAAGCUUACCAUCUAUUGUAGAUGUAGUAAGUUGUUUGUUGAUAGAGUAAUUGUUUUUCUUCAAGUGUGAAAUGUAGGUCUCUGUUGAUGAAACUGAUUUUUGGUUUGAUUUGUGAAAAUGUUUAAAAUUAUGUGCAAGCAAUACAACACAGUAAUAAAGUAAUGAAUAUUUCAACAAA